rnacentral:rRNA from 1 species
UCGGGAAUUUUGGGCAAUGGGGGAAACCCUGACCCAGCAACGCCGCGUGAAGGAUGAAGUAUUUCGGUAUGUAAACUUCGAAAGAAUAGGAAGAAUAAAUGACGGUACUAUUUAUAAGCACCGGCUAACUUCGUGCCAGCAGCCGCGGUAAUACGAAGGGUGCAAGCGUUAAUCGGAAUUACUGGGCGUAAAGCGUGCGUAGGCGGUUGGCUAAGUCAGAUGUGAAAGCCCUGGGCUCAACCUGGGAAUGGCAUUUGAAACUGGCCGGCUAGAGUGUGAUAGAGGAUGGCGGAAUUCCCGGUGUAGCGGUGAAAUGCGUAGAGAUCGGGAGGAACAUCCGUGGCGAAGGCGGCCAUCUGGAUCAACACUGACGCUGAGGCACGAAAGCGUGGGGAGCAAACAGGAUUAGAUACCCCAGUAGUCCCUGAGCGGGCUGGCAAGGCGCAU